rnacentral:tRNA from 1 species
UUCCUGGUGGCUCAGACAGUAAAGAAUCUGCCUGCAAUGCGGGAGACCCAGGUUCAAUUCCUGGGUCGGGAUG